GCCCGCCUAGCUCAAUCGGAUAGAGCGUCAGACUCUUAAUAGCGGGUGCAUCUGAAGGCUGCGAGUUCGACCCUCGCGGUGGGCU